GUAGUCAUAUGCUUGUCUCAAAGAUUAAGCCAUGCAUGUCUAAGUAUAAGCAACUUGUACUGUGAAACUGCGAAUGGCUCAUUAAAUCAGUUAUCGUUUAUUUGAUAGUACCUUACUACAUGGAUACCUGUGGUAAUUCUAGAGCUAAUACAUGCUAAAAACCCCGACUUCAGGAAGGGGUGUAUUUAUUAGAUAAAAAACCAACGCCCUUCGGGGCUCCUUGGUGAAUCAUAAUA
rnacentral:rRNA from 1 species